rnacentral:lncRNA from 1 species
AUGAAUUCCCAAGCCACACCCAUACUCCUUGUCCCUGGCAGUGCAGAGAGAGCCUGAUGAUGGAUGAGGCCCUGGCCAUCUCUGCUCUGCAGGAGCUGCCCAUGGAGCUCUUUCCACUACUGUUCAAGGGGGCCUUCACUGGUAGGCAUGCAAAGAUACCGCGGGCUCUUCCCUGCCUCCCUGUGGGAGCGCUGAUGAAGUUAUAAGAGCCCAUACAUGAAAAUAUAUACCAAAGGCCGAGAACCAUCUUGAAACUAACACCUGUUGGACCCACAGGAGGUGGAAGCUAAGGAUGGUGGAUUUUCAGAACAUGCACCACAACUUUUGGUAUAUUAUGGGCUGGAACUGAAGAUCAUGGCUGCUCAUCUCAGGCCUGGAAGACCUUCCAGGAUCAGAGGUGAGGCAGACUUUGAAGAAAUUAGCAGACCUUUUCCUCAAGUUCCACAAACUUGAUGAGUCCCAUACUUAACUUGAUGUAGUAGGGCCAAGUCAAGGAAGAGUGUCUUGCAGCUCUCCAGCAGGGUGAUGCAGAUUUGGAUGCUGUCUGUCGACACUAUCCUAGAGAUCCUGAAAAUGUUUGAGCCAAACUGUAUCCAGGAGCUGCAACUGAAUUCAUGCAACUGGGAGCCCUGGCAUGGUUUGCACCUUACCUGGGCCAGAUGAGAAAUCUUCAAAAAUUCCUUAUGGAUAGUAGUCUAUGAGAAUAAAAACU